rnacentral:sRNA from 1 species
GCGACGCUGCCCCGCCCCCUGAGGGCCGGUCCCCUGAAGCGCCAGAGAAGGAGGGGCGCGCAGGGAUCGCGCCUAGCCUCUCCGCCUGCGGGGCCGUGGGUUCCCGGCAGCCCGCAGGGGUGCUAAGUAAGGGUCCUUCAGGGCGGGAACCAGAUUCGAGGCAGGGACGCAGGCUACGUUCGAAUAAAAGUGCCGAAGGUCAUAAGGCCCCAGUUCAGAUGGGACUUCCCCGCGUGACAGCACAGAGAUAACGGCCACCCCUGGGCGAAGAUUGAAGAUCUCAAACAGACAAAUCAUGGCUUGGAAGAAUAUGUUAGGAAACUCUUGGAUAGUAAGGAGGUGGUAAGCAGUCAAGUAGAUGAUUUAACCAGCCACAAUGAGCAUCUUUGUAAAGAAUUGAUUAAAAUUGACCAACUAGCAGAGCAACUAGAAAAGGAGAAAAAUUUUGUGGUGGAUUCCGCCAACAAGGAACUUGAAGAAGCCAAGAUUGAACUCAUUUGCCAGCAAAAUAAUAUUAUAGUAUUGGAAGAUACAAUAAAAAGGCUUAAAUCUAUAAUUUUAGAUACUGAAAAAGCACAAAAUAAAUCUCCUUCUA